GCUCCUGUGGUCUAACUGGAAUAGGGCACCGGCCUCUCAAGCCCGGAGAUUGCGAGUUCGAGUCUCGUCAGGAGCCCCA
rnacentral:tRNA from 1 species